GACUAGGGAUUCUAACAGUCGAACUUCCUCCAUUGCAAACCAUCUUAAUCAGCUGCAGACCAGGUAUCUUCUGAAAUCCAAACCUGAUCAGGAGAACAACCACAGAUUGUAUUUCUCAAAAAUCAUUGUGUAUCAGAUACAGUGAUUCUGUUGAGAAUUUGACAACUACUGGAGAAGAUCCACUAGGCAGAAGAUCCUGCUUCUGUGAAGUUUUCCAUGCAAAGUGAGUCAACAUUGGCAACUUGUUUAACAGUUUGAUCCUGACAGGUUGAAUUCCAGUGCAACAACACUAACUUAUAUCAGCAUGUUGUAAGACUUCUGAGACUGGUGGUAGGAUCACUAAAACAAUUUAACUGGAGAUCAGUUCCUCACAGCCAAGUACACAAAUGACCAGAUGGCCUACAUAGUUUGUACAAACUUUCUUGUAUUGGAUUGAAGGUACUUUGUGUGUCUGAACCUAAGGAUCUAUUCCUACACUGAGUGGACUGCACAAGUGUUAGCUGCUUUAAUAGCUUGUGUUUUGUUUAGAGAUCAGUGUGCUAAAUGGUCCCAGAUAAGGAAAAAAGAAUCUGGAAAGUACUUUUCAUAUUCUACAAGAUUUCCACAGCCUAGCUGCUUAAACUCUCUGGACCUUAAUUAACUUUCUACAAGUAAUAGCAGAUGUAUCUAUUUCUGAUUCCCUAGUCAUAUAUUGAUUAUAGGACCUACUGUUUUUUUGAAGCAAGGAAACCUCUUAGUACUAGAGAAAACAUAAAGAUGAAUUGGUAAGUUGUUUUGCAGCAAUUUAGCUGAGUGAAUGCUAAAUACUCAGAAUCACACCUACUCUCAAUCACUUGCUUUUUACUAUAUGCUUGCUCUGGAUAAUCAGCACAGGCAAGUGUUUGUGUUAGGCUGGGCCAGCUAAACCUUGUUUUCUAAGGAUGUGGGUGCAGCUGCCUUGCAGAAAUGUAUUGCAGUAAAAUCCUCCAGUUCUCGAAUAUGGCUGUAAUGGCUGUCUAAAAAUAAUACCUAACAAAGGGUGUCCUUCGCAGGGGAAGCCAGAAAUAACCUUUUUCUCUGUCAAAAUGUAAUCAGUUAAUCUACAAGCAGCAGCUUGACCCAGAGACCACGAAAGAGCUGACUUUCAACGUAAGGAAUCUUGAGCUUGGACUUCCCCCCAAAGAGAUAAUAAAUACCACUCGCUUCAA